rnacentral:rRNA from 1 species
UGAACGCUGGCGGCGUGCCUAAUACAUGCAAGUCGAGCGAAUGGAUUAAGAGCUUGCUCUUAUGAAGUAAUAGCGGCGGACGGGUGAGUAACACGUGGGUAACCUGCCCAUAAGACUGGGAUAACUCCGGGAAACCGGGGCUAAUACCGGAUAAUAUUUUGAACUGCAUGGUUCGAAAUUGAAAGGCGGCUUCGGCUGUCACUUAUGGAUGGACCCGCGUCGCAUUAGCUAGUUGGUGAGGUAACGGCUCACCAAGGCAACGAUGCGUAGCCGACCUGAGAGGGUGAUCGGCCACACUGGGACUGAGACACGGCCCAGACUCCUACGGGAGGCAGCAGUAGGGAAUCUUCCGCAAUGGACGAAAGUCUGACGGAGCAACGCCGCGUGAGUGAUGAAGGCUUUCGGGUCGUAAAACUCUGUUGUUAGGGAAGAACAAGUGCUAGUUGAAUAAGCUGGCAUUGACGGUACCUAACCAGAAAGCCACGGCUCAAACUACGUGCCAGCAGCCGCGGUAAUACGUAGGUGGCAAGCGUUAUCCGGAAUUAUUGGGCGUAAAGCGCGCGCAGGUGGUUUCUUAAGUCUGAUGUGAAAGCCCACGGCUCAACCGUGGAGGGUCAUUGGAAACUGGGAGACUUGAGUGCAGAAGAGGAAAGUGGA